CUUCAACAUGACACUUAGGCCUUGGUUUUAAACAUGGGGUUACUUGUCUAACAAAAAGAAAUUAUUUUUAAGUUUUUAUCAACAUAAAGUGUUAUAAAGGUAUAAACUGAAGAUAAAAGAAAAAAUAUUUUAUGCAGUCCUUUCAUCAAAAUAUAUCAGUGUCUUUCCUAUUUUUGGGUUUCUGGGCCUGGCCAGUUCACUAAGAGUUGACAUCACGUGGACAUCCAAUUUAUUCCCUGUAAUCUAGUGAAGAAGUAAAACUGGUUAAGAUCUCAUACUCUCCCAUGGUCAGAAGGGAGCUGUUCCAGGUCAGGGAAAGCAGGCCAGCCUCUCAGAGGUUAAAUGAAAAGGUCCAAGCUUCUGCUCUGAUCCACCUGCUUCUCCCUUUGGGCUGAGGUUUGGGGCCAUCAGAACAGUUGCAUUCAUGGCAGCAGCAGGAUGGCCCGGGAGGACAGGAAGUACUGCUCCCUCAAGAGCCACCUGAUUUCUCUCCUCCUGGGGACCAGAGGGUCUUGCUCAGAACCUUCCACUCUCCACAUGACGAAAAAUAUAACCUUUCAGUGUCUCUUGGAGAAAAGCACAGCUGCACCACAGCAGGAAGAGAAGCAGAGGAAAGGAAAACAAUUGUCACCUGUUGAAAUGCAUUUCCAGAUCCAGGAUGGACCCUCUACACUCUGGGGUGGUGAGUAAGCAAACUAAAACUUAGAUACUCUCCUGUCCCUGUAAAUGCUGCCCUUGACCAGAAACUGUCUAUCCCAGCCAGCCAGGCCCCAGACACCAAGGAUCUGUAAUGAUUCCCCUGUUCUACAUAAGACCAGAUAUGCAACCCCAGCCAAUCAGCCUAAUCCAGAUUCUCUCUCCUCAUUCCUGACUGACCUGCCAGCCUUUUGAGGAAAUCCCUGACCUCCCAGGCCAUUCUGCCUGUUCCCCUGGGCUGCUUCUAAGGCUCUAUGAUAUUCCCUGUUGCUCUGAAUCCUUGAAGAAGAGUGCUCCACUGCUUGUGAGGCCCUGAGCUCCCCAAUCUAUGGAUUGUUCUUAUUUUAGUAAAGGACAUCAAAUCUACAGAUUAAAUGGUUUUACUUUUGUCAUUUGAGACACCCAGGAGAGUAUUUGGGAGUUUAGGUGACUUCAAUAUACACUGAAGGCUAGUCAUGGCCAACAGCUGUUUGCAUAAAAACAAUAAUUGCCUAAAAACAAAAAAGGCUGGCAACAUAAAUUAAAUUUAUUUUCAUAAAAAUAUAGAUCAUUGUGGAUUAUCCCUUCAUAUGUAAGAUUUUUCUUAUUGGUAGAAAUCUAGAAAACUAGAAAGUUGUUACCCAAUUUCUCACCACCCACAUAGCUCACCUUCUAUAUUCAGAGUCUUUCCAACUGUCAUUUUCUGUGCAGAUGUCAACCCCACUGGCACUUUCUUUUCCACUUACCACUUUGGCACCGCUACCCUAGACACCUGCUGAGGGCCUGAAUGAUGGCUCUAAAAUAUUCUUUUAGCAGAAUAUUCUAGUCAACACCCCACCAA
rnacentral:lncRNA from 1 species